rnacentral:rRNA from 1 species
AGUGAACGCUGGCGGUAGGCCUAACACAUGCAAGUCGAACGGCAGCACAGUAAGAGCCUGCUCUUACGGGUGGCGAGUGGCGGACGGGUGAGGAAUACAUCGGAAUCUACUUUUUCGUGGGGGAUAACGUAGGGAAACUUACGCUAAUACCGCAUACGACCUACGGGUGAAAGCAGGGGAUCUUCGGACCUUGCGCGAUUGAAUGAGCCGAUGUCGGAUUAGCUAGUUGGCGGGGUAAAGGCCCACCAAGGCGACGAUCCGUAGCUGGUCUGAGAGGAUGAUCAGCCACACUGGAACUGAGACACGGUCCAGACUCCUACGGGAGGCAGCAGUGGGGAAUAUUGGACAAAGGGCGCAAGCCUGAUCCAGCCAUACCGCGUGGGUGAAGAAGGCCUUCGGGUUGUAAAGCCCUUUUGUUGGGAAAGAAAAGCAGCAGGUUAAUACCCCGCUGUUCUGACGGUACCCAAAGAAUAAGCACCGGCUAACUUCGUG